GAUGUGGUGGCUCAAUGGUAGAGCUUUCGACUCCAGCAAUCGAAGGGUUGCAGGUUCAAUUCCUGUCCAUGUCA
rnacentral:tRNA from 1 species